rnacentral:rRNA from 1 species
GACGAACGCUGGCGGCGUGCUUAACACAUGCAAGUCGAACGAAGAGCGACGGAAGCUUGCUUCUAUCAAUCUUAGUGGCGAACGGGUGAGUAACGCGUAAUCAACCUGCCCUUCAGAGGGGGACAACAGUUGGAAACGACUGCUCAUACCGCAUACGAUCUAAUCUCGGCAUCGAGGAUGGAUGAAAGGUGGCCUCUACAUGUAAGCUAUCACUGAAGGAGGGGAUUGCGUCUGAUUAGCUAGUUGGAGGGGUAACGGCCCACCAAGGCGAUGAUCAGUAGCAGGUCUGAGAGGAUGAGCGGCCACAUUGGGACUGAGACAGGGCACAGACGCAUACGGGAGGCAGCAGUGGGGAAUCGUCCGCAAUGGACGAAAGUCUGACGGAGCAACGCCGCGUGAGUGAUGACGGCCUUCGGGUUGUAAAGCUCUGUUAAUCGGGACGAAAGGCCUUCUUGCGAAUAGUGAGAAGGAUUGACGGUACCGGAAUAGAAAGCCACGGCUAACUACGUG